CAUUAAAUGCUUUCAAAAGAAACAGAUAAAGAAGCACUUCAGAAUCCGGAUGUUUCCUUGUCUCAUUUGAUAUCGGUUUAUAAUGUAAUGCAUUCCAUUCUAUAAGUUGUUCAAUUAAACUGUUCCACGGAGAAAUAAACAAGCGUUAAAUUAUUAAACACGGCGGCUCAUGUUUUCACUGUCAUGUGAUGAUGUCAUGUAAAGCCUGUGUGUGCAGUUAAAGAGGAUUCCCGAAGUGCCACGGGGAAUCGAUAAGGGAGGAGCGGAAGUCAGGCAAAAUCUCUGUCACUUUACGUCUGAGCUGUUUCCUGCAGGCCUCUCUUUCUUUCUCUUCUCUCUCUUCUCGCAAGACAACAGGAAGACGUCUCCUGUCAUUUAAACACUUCACAGCUAGCUCUCCUACAAAGCCCCAGAGAGCCAAGCUCAUUGUCCCAGGCUGUGAUUGGCUCUUCUGUAGCGUGAUCCAGCAGAGCCAUGAAUAACUUCCUCUGGGUCCGUGUCCUGUGAAACCGCUCUGCACGUGCUUCCAGUAUAAAGCGCAGAUCUUUUAACUGCUACACACACCCCUCUGAAGUAAGAUCCGGUGAUACAGCUGGUUGGCACAGGCCUCUCUCUCUGCGUGGGCCUCAUCCACGGACUGAAGCCAGGAGCAGCAGCAGCAUCUCUGCAGAGCCAGUGUGUAAUGAUCCACCACUCUCUGGAGGACACAGAAAAUGCAAAAGCAUCCGGACAUAAAUAACUGUCUGCUUUAAUUAAGUCCGUUAUCAUCCAAUACACUCCCAUGGUUUUUAUGGAUUGAAAUGUUUCCCCUGCUGACUUCCUUUUUAUACCGUAGAAAUAUUAUAGACAUACAUGCUAGUUUUGCAACUAAUUGGACCUUAAAGUUUCUGCUUUCAUGCAUGCGAUCAAUAUUUAAACAACAAUGCAAAUUCUAAAUUCAGUGCCAUUCCGUUUCUGUCUUUGUGUCUCUGUUCUUGUCAAUCUCUCCCUCUCAAUCACUCCAUCUCCCUCCUGAAUCUCAGAUAUCCACUCUUUGUUAAUUUAUUUUUCGAAAACAGGUGGUUAGCCAGGUGGAAACGCAACAGUAUAUUGUAAACAUCAUUACAAUUUGGGGAAUGGACCAAGAGUUAAUGCAAGGCAACAGCUGGUCUUCCUGUGUGUGUGUGUGAGCUGCCCAUAACUCUUUGGAUGAAUAAUUGAGAGUGUGAAUGUUUGCCUGGAAAGCAGGUGAAUAGCCUGCAUUGUUACUGUAGGCCAUGUGAGUGUGUGUGUGUGUGUAUUUGCAGUAGCUCUUACCUGUGUGUUGACAUGGCUUUGCUCCAGCAGGCGUUUCUAUGUUGCCAGGCCUUGGUGCAGUAACAGGGUUCUGUAGUGCUGGGCCGCCAGCUUUGACAGUUCAUGUUCCCGUUC